UAAUAUUAGUUUUUUUUUUUUAGUUUUAUUGUGAAUUAUUCUCCACUAAAGAUUAGCAUGGCCCCUGCGCAAGGAUGACACGCAAAUGCAUGAAGCGUUCCACAUUCGU
rnacentral:snRNA from 1 species